AUUGAACGCUGGCGGCAGGCUUAACACAUGCAAGUCGAGCGGGGGAAGGUAGCUGGCUACUGGACCUAGCGGCGGACGGGUGAGUAAUGCUUAGGAAUCUGCCUAUGAGUGGGGGACAACAUCUCGAAAGGGAUGCUAAUACCGCAUACGUCAUACGGGAGAAAGCAGGGGAUCUCCGGACCUUGGGCUAAGAGAUGAGCAUAAGUCGGAUUAGCUAGUUGGUGGGGUAAAGGCCUACCAAGGCGACGCUCUGUAGCGGGUUUGAGAGGAUGAUCCGCCACCCUUGGACUGAGACCCGGCCCAGACUCCUACGGGAUGCAGCAGUGGGGAAUAUUGGACAAUGGGGGAAACCCUGAUCCAGCCAUGCCGCGUGUGUGAAGAAGGCCUUAUGGUUGUAAAGCACUUUAAGCGAGGCGGAGGCUACUGAGACUAAUACUCUUGGAUAGUGGACGUUACUCGCAGAAUAAGCACCGGCUAACUCUGUGCCAGCAGCCGCCGUAA
rnacentral:rRNA from 1 species